CGAUAGCGAACAAGUACCGUGAGGGAAAGUUGAAAAGCACUUUGAAGAGAGAGUUCAAGAGUACGUGAAACCGUUUAGGGGUAAACCUGAGAAACCCGAAAGGUCGAAGGGAGAAAUUCAUUCGCGUUUCGUGGCAGGCGUUCAGCGAUCGUGCGACGGGGAGGCGUUCGCGUCUCUCCGCACCUUUCGUCGGCACGAACCGGCAACGAACGCGUGCACUUUUCUCCCGGUAGGACGUCGCGAUCCGUCGGGUGUCGGUCUACGGCUCGCGGUGGAGCCCGUCCGUCGUCGUUCUUCGACGUACGGAUGGACCCGCGUGUCCCGGCCGACCCGCUCGACGGUAUACGAAAGGUUUAAGGCCGCUCUCGGAGCGUUCGACUCGUGGCAAGCGCGUCAGCCGUGUCGGCGAUCGGACCUAGUGCCGAUUCCGACCUCUGGCGACUGUUGGCCGCGAAGUUCUCGAACAGACCUUAGGACCGAUCCGCGACGCUAUAGCUUUGGGUACUUUCAGGACCCGUCUUGAAACACGGACCAAGGAGUCUAGCAUGUGCGCGAGUCAUUGGGAAUCACUAAACCUAAAGGCGCAAUGAAAGUGAAGGUCUUCCUAGCGAAGACCGAGGGAAGACGAGCGGUUCGCCCUUAAAAGUGACCGCUCCGCAUUCCCGGGGCGUCUCGUUCUCAUCGCGAGAAGAGGCGCAC
rnacentral:rRNA from 1 species